rnacentral:rRNA from 1 species
UGGGGAAUUUUGGACAAUGGGCGAAAGCCUGAUCCAGCCAUUCCGCGUGCAGGACGAAGGCCUUCGGGUUGUAAACUGCUUUUGUACGGAACGAAAAGGUUUCAGCUAAUACCUGGGACUCAUGACGGUACCGUAAGAAUAAGCACCGGCUAACUACGUGCCAGCAGCCGCGGUAAUACGUAGGGUGCGAGCGUUAAUCGGAAUUACUGGGCGUAAAGCGUGCGCAGGCGGUCUUGUAAGACAGAUGUGAAAUCCCCGGGCUCAACCUGGGAACUGCAUUUGUGACUGCAAGGCUAGAGUGCGGCAGAGGGGGAUGGAAUUCCGCGUGUAGCAGUGAAAUGCGUAGAUAUGCGGAGGAACACCGAUGGCGAAGGCAAUCCCCUGGGCCUGCACUGACGCUCAUGCACGAAAGCGUGGGGAGCAAACAGGAUUAGAUACCCUGGUAGUCCACGCCCUAAACGAUGUCAACUGGUUGUUGGGUCUUCACUGACUCAGUAACGAAGCUAACGCGUGAAGUUGACCGCCUGGGGAGUACGGCCGCAAGGUUG